rnacentral:tRNA from 1 species
GCCCCCUUGGUCUAGCGGACAAGACGGUACCUUGCGGAGGUACAGACCCAGGGUUCGAAUCCCUGAGGGGGCG